rnacentral:rRNA from 1 species
AACGAACGCUGGCGGUAUGCUUUACACAUGCAAGUCGAACGAACUUAGGCCUAGCUUGCUAGGAACGGUUAGUGGCAGACGGGUGAGUAACGCGUGGGAACCUACCUUUUAGUACGGAAUGGUCCUGGGAAACUGGGUUUAAUACCGUAUACGCUCUCCGGAGGAAAGAUUUAUCGCUAAAAGAUGGGCCCGCGUUAGAUUAGCUUGUUGGUGAGGUAAUGGCUUACCAAGGCUACGAUCUAUAGCUGGUUUGAGAGGAUGAUCAGCCACACUGGAACUGAGACACGGUCCAG